UACAGAGGGGGCAAGCGUUGUUCGGAAUUACUGGGCGUAAAGGGCGCGUAGGCGGCCUUCUAAGUCGAACGUGAAAUCCCUGGGUUCAACCCAGGAACUGCGUCCGAUACUGGAAGGCUUGAAUCCGGGAGAGGGAUGCGGAAUUCCAGGUGUAGCGGUGAAAUGCGUAGAUAUCUGGAGGAACACCGGUGGCGAAGGCGGCAUCCUGGACCGGUAUUGACGCUGAGGCGCGAAAGCCAGGGGAGCAAACGGG
rnacentral:rRNA from 1 species